AGCGAAGCGGGAAGAGCUCAAAUUUAUAAUCUGGCACCUUCGGUGUCCGAGUUGUAAUCUCUAGAAAUGUUUUCCGCGUUGGACCGCACACAAGUCUGUUGGAAUACAGCGGCAUAGUGGUGAGACCCCCGUAUAUGGUGCGGACGCCCAGCGCUUUGUGAUACAUUUUCGAAGAGUCGAGUUGUUUGGGAAUGCAGCUCAAAUUGGGUGGUAAAUUCCAUCUAAAGCUAAAUAUUGGCGAGAGACCGAUAGCGAACAAGUACCGUGAGGGAAAGAUGAAAAGCACUUUGGAAAGAGAGUUAACAGUACGUGAAAUUGUUGGAAGGGAAACGCUUGAAGUCAGACUUGCUUGCCGAGCAAUCGGUUUGCAGGCCAGCAUCAGUUUUCCGGGAUGGAUAAUGGUAGAGAGAAGGUAGCAGUUUCGGCUGUGUUAUAGCUCUCUGCUGGAUACAUCUUGGGGGACUGAGGAACGCAGUGUGCCUUUGGCGGGGGUUUCGACCUCUUCACACUUAGGAUGCUGGUGGAAUGGCUUUAAACGACCCGUCUUGAAACACGGAC
rnacentral:rRNA from 1 species